GUGAGUGAUUCUGAACUGGGCUGCCAUAAAGAAGAAGGCAGAGACCUACCUGCCUGUUGCUUCUGUCUCCCUCCAGCUGUUGGGAGGUCAGUGUGCCUGGGCUGGCUGCUUUUGGAAAGUCCUUUCUUUAUCUCUUUCCCACUUGGCAGCUCUCCUUAGUUCUGGGACAUUUGCCACCAUGGUACUGCCAGGAAGGAAUCUGGCCUUGUCCUGUUCCAUUUCUCUUUGUUUCCAAGGGGGAGCUCCGCUUCCACCUGCUGUGUGACAUCACCCACUGUGGGAUCCCUGCAUGAGAGUUGGAAAUCACACUGUCAGAUGGUCACACCUCCAGCUACAAGAGGUUCAAGUUCUUCCUGGGUUAUAAGAUGGCAAACCAUCCACAUAGAGACCCAAGUUAACUUGUGAGUGAGCUGUCUUCAAGGAGCUUACAAGUCUUGAAUGUUCAGGUCACAGACUGGAAGCUUUAGAAUAAUAAGAUCCCUGACAAAGCAUUUGCUCUUUGAUAUCUCUCAGGAAUGCAUGCUCCAAUGUGGUUCUGUUAUAGCUGCAGGAAAAUGGGUCUUGAAGAGAAGACUGUUAGAAGACAUGGUCGGUACCUCUUCAGUGACCUGCACCAUGAUAACUAAGAGAACUUUGUUGUGUGCACGAGGCUUUUCUAUUGUGGCGUCAGUUAAUCCUCAUGAAUACUGUGAUGGAGAAGACAUAUCAAGGAGUGCAGCCAUCUCCACGGGUCUCUUCUUUCAUAGCAAAUGCUCUAUGUGCCCAGUGAGGUGGGCAGCCUCACUCAGGAGCUUAGCAUGCUGGCUUCUGAAGUGCUUCAUCCAGCAGCUGACUCAGACAGAUGAAGACACCAACAGCCAAACGUUGGAUGGAACAUGGGGACUCUUAUGGAAGAAGACUAGGAAGAAGGAUUGUGGGCUCCUGAGGGAAUAGGAACUCCUCAGGAAGACCAACACAGUCAACUAACCCUUGGGGCUCUCUGAGACUGAGUCACCAACCAAAGAACAUACAUGGGCUGAACCUAGUCCUCCAGCACAUAUGUAUCAGGUGUGCAGCUUGGUCUUCAUGUGGUUCCUGAACAACUGGAGCAGGGGGCUAUCCCAAAAGCUAUUGCCAGUAUGUGGAAUAUGUUCUUCUAGUUGGGCUGCCUUGUCUCUCCUCAGUGGGAGUGGGUGUGCCUAACCUGGCAGAGACUUAAAGUACCAGGUGAGGUGACACCCAAGGGAGGCCAGACUCUCUCAGAGGAGAAGUGAAAGAACACAUGAUGAAGGAUUCUUCCCUAACAACAUGCAUGCAUUGGUCCACCUUACAUUAUGUAGUUGAGUUCCAUUUGUUGGGACUCCUUAGAUAUAAAAGCAUCAAAAACUUCUGGUGGUGUGCCAUGGCUUCUUGCUGCUUCUGGGCACUUGGGCUGAUUGGCAGAGUGAUGAUAGGUGACACACACAUGUGUUGUGGCAAGACAUGUGGUGAGGCAAGACCAGUGGAGGACAUGUGAUAUUUGGAGAGAGUAUAAGAAGAACUCGAAAGACAGUGACAGAAGCUGAUCUUGGGUUGCUUGCAGAUCAAAGCUUGUUGGGGUUGAGACUUGGCUGAUCUUCAGUUGGCUGAGAGAUGGGCAGCCCAGAACUUUUCCUGGUGUUCCUGUUGGCUCUUGGUCCCUCUUGCUGACUCAUGCAGAGGCUGUCUCUGCAUGGUAGUGCUACUCAUGCCUCUGGCUGUCUCUGCUAGGUAGUGCUACUGCUGCUGAUUUGUGGUUUGCUAUCCCAACUCUUUGGAACUGGACUGCUGGUGUAUCCGUGAAGUGUUUGCGAGUGGAUUGAACUGCUGCUGACCUGUGAACUGAGUUGCUGAAUUCCAGACAACACAGAUGAAGUGAGGGCUGUCUCAGAUUCUGUUGCCUGCCAUUGGAUCCCCUUUGUCUAGCUAGACUCAUCGGUUGGAUGAUGAGUCCAGGGUUGGGAUGUACCCAAGGUGUGUGUGUGUUUCCCUUUCUCUGAGGAGAUGGGAAGGCAUAAUGUGGGGGAGGGACUUGUGAGGGUAGACCUGUGAGGGGGGGGGCUGCACCUGGGAUAUAAAGUGAAUAAAAAAAUAAGGGGAAUAAUGUAAAAUCAAUAACAAAUAUUCUAACUUCAAGAAGAGAGUUGUAACAACCGUUUUCCUCCUAGCCAUACUCAAAAUAAUAACUCCAAAAGAGAAGCAGUGCAAACAGCUGAAUUUAGCAUAAUUGGAUGAUAUGACUUUCACCUUAUUGGAGUGGAGUGAAAACACCAAGAUUGAUGCAAAUUUACUGCCAAGUUAACAUAAAAAUCCUCAUAGUGAAAAGGUAACAAACCGCCCCGAAGCAUCGCUUUAGUGAGAAUGCUGACAGGCUUCAUGAGCACAGUCCAUCUGAGACUAAUUUGAGACUCUCUUCUGAAGAAGAAAUCUGGAAAUCCAUUGAAAUCUUAUCCUUCCAUUAUGAAAGAAAAUGAUGGAGGUUUAAACAUGUGUAAUGCCAGUUAUAAAAUAAAAUUCAUGCUGCUAUUGACA
rnacentral:lncRNA from 1 species